UUCCAUGAAAAUCUCCCAAAAAAUAGCCGAAAAUAGAUUAACCGUCGUAUCCCGCCUUCUCUCUUUCUUCAUUUUCCCCAUCUCAAUCUCCUCUUCCAUUGCUGAUAAUCGGGGCAUCACACAACAAAAUCAAAAUCAAAAUCAAGUCAAUUGAGCCAGGCAAAUGGAAAGUGAAAGGGAUUUCUCUUUCCAGAUUUCAUGAUCCUUAUCACUUGAAAUGUUUCUUUGUUUGUUUGUCUCCGUUUCUUGACCUCAGGAAUCCAAUGUCGUGUGCCCUAUUUUAGUAUGCAUCUGCUAUUUCGAAGAGUCAGUCGACGUUGGGACUAAAUCCCUUCCCCGUUGAUUCGUGGAAUCUUCGAGGCUCCGUUGGAUUUUCAAUCCCUAAUUUGGAUUGUGUGAUUGCCCCCAAUUUCUUCCCAAUUUUAGAUUUGAGUACAUUCCUCUCUUGUUUUUUAAGUUUUUUUCUUCCUCUUGUGGGCUGAUCUGUGGCGUUCGAAGUGAAUCCGAAUGCAAGGAAACCGUAAAGGAGCUGCUGCCUUUGAAGAAAUUGUGGAUUUGUAACUUGUUAUGGAUUCGCCAUUGUUGAUUUUCGUAGCUGCUAUCCUCUUCGGAUUUUUCAGCCUCGUUGUUGAAUCUCAAGGAAAUGUGAUGCCCCCACCGCCUCCAUUCUCUCCUCCUCCCCCAUCUUCACCGCCGCCAUUUUCUCCUCCUCCCCCAUCUCCGCCGCCUCCUCAAUCCCCUCCCCCGCCACCAAAAUCUCCUCCACCUCCGCUUCAACCACCACCACCUCCAUCCCCUGUACGGCCGCCCCCACCCCCAUCCCCUUCAAGGCCGCCUCCGCCGCCACGAAAACGCCUCCACCCGCCCCCUCCACCGUGGCAGCGCGAGCACGGUCGAGGGCGCCGGAGCCCCCCUCCUCCGCCCAAGACACAGAAGCUCAACACGGGGAAGAAAGUCGGGCUGAUGUUCAUUGGAGUUGCCCUGAUCUUGCAAGUUUGCGUAGUCUCAUUCGUGUUGAUCAGUAGAAGGCAACUUUUGAAAACUGAAACUCUUGAUUGAAAGAAUCACAAGUCGAAUGUUUUUCUUCAAUAGCACAAUUAUUUUGUUCAUGAUGUGAUUUUUUUUAUUCGUGGACCGGCUGGAUUGAUAUUCUUUAUUUAUGGAGAAUGGGUCUGAGAAUCGAUGGAACUUUGGUGUCUGCAUCUUGUAAAUGGGGGGGGUAGAAGAGGAGUUAACUGUGUCUGCUCACAAAACUUGUCAACAUUCGAAGAAAAAAAAAUGAUUAGUUGAAAGUGACAACUGAAAAUCACCACGUUUGUAUCAUUGUUUGCUGUUUACAGGUCUCAUUAGAAAUUUAACUAAUAUGGUGAUUAUUAUAUCUUGUAGUUUGUGUGAUUUAAACUUGCAUGAACUUCAGAUAUCCAGUUACCAAUGGUUGUUUCCGAUGAUGACUUCAGAUAAAAGAUGGAAAUUAUAUUGGUUAAUAUGAAUGAAUUAUACUA